UUGUAAUUGGAUUAUUUUGCUUAUUUCGUAUCAAAAUGCACAAUGCAAAUUUCUUAUUUACGAAAAAGCAAAGAAAGAAUUAAAUCCGGCUAACCCGAUAUUUGAAUACCCUCUCCCACAAAUUCUAUUUGAAGUUACAAAAAGAAGACAAUUCAUGAGUCCCUAUUAUGUCAACGAAUGUUCAGGUUCAGCCUUAUGUAGAAUCCUUUUUUCCCACCACUGUAUGUAUAUUUAUAUAUAUAUUUUUUUGUCCACCACUGUGUAUAUAUGGAAGCUGUAUACACAUGAUCUGAUCGGGACCAAAUUCGGCAGAUAUGUGGAGGUCUGAUAAAAUAUUCUGUAGCACAUUCGGCCGAAAUCGGGAAGAUCGGUCCAAAUAUCAGGAUAUAUAAAUGUCUAAUGGAGCUUACGUUUCUGCCAAAUCGAGUAGUAAAUUGUAUUUAUGAAGUGUAUGCUGAAUGAAACCAUUUUUUAAAUCACUACCAUUUUAACCUCGGUACCAUUUUAACCUCAUGCUGAGGGGUACAAUGCAACUCACUGAACGGCGGAAACGGGUAGUAAAUCUGGAGGCAGCAUUAUCCGACAUUGUUGUUUAUGGAAAUCGGGCAAAAUACAAUUUUUAUAAAUUCAAGAUUACUUAUCGGGAA
rnacentral:sRNA from 1 species